rnacentral:rRNA from 1 species
CCUACGGGGGACUGCAGUGAGGAAUAUUGGUCAAUGGCCGGAAGGCUGAACCAGCCACGCCGCGUGAGGGCGGCAGGCGCAGAGCGUCGCAGACCUCUUUUGCCGGGGGACAAAAGGCCGGACUCGUCCGGUCCUGAGGGUACCCGGAGAAAAAGCAUCGGCUAACUCCGUGCCAGCAGCCGCGGUCAUACGGAGGAUGCGAGCGUUAUCCGGAUUUAUUGGGGUUAAAGGGUGCGCAGGGGGAAGAUCAAGUCAGCGGUAAAAUGGAGAGGCUCAACCUCGUCGAGCCGUUGAAACGGGUUUUCGUGAGUGAGCGAGAAGUAUGCGGAAUGCGUGUGGUAGCGGUGAAAUGCAUAGAGAUCACGCAGAAGUCCGAUUGCGAAGGCAGCAUAUCGGCGCUCAACUGACGCUCAUGCACGAAAGUGUGGGUAUCGAACAGGAGUAGAUACCCUGGUAGUC